rnacentral:rRNA from 1 species
AGUGAACGCUGGCGGUAGGCCUAACACAUGCAAGUCGAACGGCAGCACAGUAAGAGCUUGCUCUUACGGGUGGCGAGUGGCGGACGGGUGAGGAAUACAUCGGAAUCUACUUUUUCGUGGGGGAUAACGUAGGGAAACUUACGCUAAUACCGCAUACGACCUACGGGUGAAAGCAGGGGAUCUUCGGACCUUGCGCGAUUGAAUGAGCCGAUGUCGGAUUAGCUAGUUGGCGGGGUAAAGGCCCACCAAGGCGACGAUCCGUAGCUGGUCUGAGAGGAUGAUGAGCCACACUGGAACUGAGACACGGUCCAGACUCCUAGGGGAGGCAGCAGUGGGGAAUAUUGGACAAUGGGCGCAAGCCUGAUCCAGCCAUACCGCGUGGGUGAAGAAGGCCUUCGGGUUGUAAAGCCCUUUUGUUGGGAAAGAAAAGCAGCAGGUUAAUACCCCGCUGUUCUGACGGUACCCAAAGAAUAAGCACCGGCUAACUUCGUG